rnacentral:rRNA from 1 species
GAUGAACGCUGGCGGCGUGCCUAAUACAUGCAAGUCGAGCGAACAGACGAGGAGCUUGCUCCUCUGACGUUAGCGGCGGACGGGUGAGUAACACGUGGAUAACCUACCUAUAAGACUGGGAUAACUUCGGGAAACCGGAGCUAAUACCGGAUAAUAUAUUGAACCGCAUGGUUCAAUAGUGAAAGACGGUUUUGCUGUCACUUAUAGAUGGAUCCGCGCCGCAUUAGCUAGUUGGUAAGGUAACGGCUUACCAAGGCAACGAUGCGUAGCCGACCUGAGAGGGGGAGCGGCCACACUGGAGCUGAGACACGGUCCAGACUCCUACGGGAGGCAGCAGUAGGGAAUCUUCCGCAAUGGGCGAAAGCCUGACGGAGCAACGCCGCGUGAGGUAUGAAGGUCUUCGGAUUGUAAAACUCUUUUAUUAGGGAAGAACAAAUGUGUAAGUAACUAUGCACGUCUUGACGGUACCUAAUCAGAAAGCCACGGCUAACUACGUG